GCCAGUGUGGCAUAGUGGUUUGAGUGGUGGACUACCACUCUGGAGACCAGAGUUUGAAUCCCUGCUCAGCCA